AGCUUUACUGUAAACACACCACUAACUAGGUCUUGUAACGUGAGGCUGAUAAUACAUGACUAGCACAAGCUAGCGGUUCAUUAAAACUACAGUUUGUUACUUUAAAAACUAGCAAUUAUGGCGCGCUGCAGCACCGGAUGUUUACUGGGGAAUAAUCUCGUGGAGAGAUGAAACGCUGGCUGAGUUGGGCAGACAUAGACUCGAUGCGUACUCUGGUCUGCUGCAGCUCCUCAUGGGCUGCCCCCACCAGGUGGCUGCUCCUGUCAGCAGACUGACGGGCAUUCUCCAACUGGCAGAGAACAACAAAAGGGCAUCAGUCCUUGGGAGCAUGGGGACCAGAAUCAGUGGUCGUCUAAACUGAUGCUCUUCAUCCCUUAACUAUGCUGAUUAAAUGUACUUCAAUCAA